GUGGCCAUAGCUCAAUGGUAGAGUCCAAGCUUGUGGAGCUUGUUGUUGCGGGUUCGAAUCCCGUUGGCCACCCCA
rnacentral:tRNA from 3 species